rnacentral:misc_RNA from 1 species
GUAGGUGAACCUGCGGAAGGAUCAUUAACACGUAUCCACGUUUUAUCAACUAAUUGAGCACCUGUUUUCAACAAUCUCCCUUUUGGGCAGAGAAUGAGUUGGUUUUCAUUGAUGUCAGAUGGUGUUGUUUGGGAUGCUUCGGCGUCGACCUCUGCCAAUUACUUGCGGGCUCGUUUCUGCAGACAACUGUAUUUCUGUUUUUUUACAAAAGGCAAAUCACUUUGGGUUUUGUGUAACAAUCCUUCAGCCUUGAUCUCCAAACAAGAUCGUGGGCUGUUGGUUUUAUUGUGACAAGACCAUUACAAAUUAACCUAUUUCACCACACCUUUUUGCUAGUUGACUUUUUAUAUGUUGUUCUAUUUCUCGAAAUUUAUUUUUUGAGAAGCAGUUCACACGUUUAUUUACUUGAACGUUAAAAAAUACAACUCUUAGCAAUGGAUAUCUUGGUUCUC